rnacentral:rRNA from 1 species
GACGAACGCUGGCGGCGUGCUUAACACAUGCAAGUCGAACGGAAAGGCCCUGCUUUGGUGGGGUGCUCGAGUGGCGAACGGGUGAGUAACACGUGAGUAACCUGCCCUUGACUUUGGGAUAACUUCAGGAAACUGGGGCUAAUACCGGAUAGGAGCUCCGGCUGCAUGGUGGGGGUUGGAAAGUUUGGGCGGUUGGGGAUGGACUCGCGGCUUAUCAGCUUGUUGGUGGGGUAGUGGCUUACCAAGGCUUGGACGGGUAGCCGGCCUGAGAGGGUGACCGGCCACAUUGGGACUGAGAUACGGCCCAGACUCCUCCGGGAGGCAGCAGUGGGGAAUAUUGCACAAUGGGCGGAAGCCUGAUGCAGCAACGCCGCGUGCGGGAUGACGGCCUUCGGGUUGUAACCCGCUUUCGCCUGUGACGAAGCGUGAGUGACGGUAAUGGGUAAAGAAGCACCGGCUAACUACGUG